rnacentral:lncRNA from 1 species
AGAGACUCCAGUUGUACUCUGAGAUGACAGGACCUGCAGACCUGAGUAUGAUCUGCAGCCUUAGGUGAAGUGUUCUGGUGCUGGCUCUAUUUAUAGAGAGUAAUAUCCCCAAGUCAUAAAACAUCUCCCUGUAUAAUUAAUAUGGCACAUUUGUCUACCUCAGCAUCUCUUGAGCUCAGUCUAUGGGAUGGUUCAUAGAAGGAGAAGACCACACUAUUUGGAUGGUAGGUGUUCAACAAUUUCAUUGCAACUUGUCUUUUGUUCUUAUUGAUAUGUGCAUAUAAACUUCUAUCUACUUGAAUUUAUGUUUAAAAGCAUUUAUUGAUAGAUAAUUUGGGAAUCUCAUAUUUAUAUGUCAUAGUAGACUGAAAAAGAAUACACUAAGCCUAUGUGAUUCUUUAUACUUUAGUUCUUGCUAGCUUGCAAGUGGGGGGGAAUCUUAUCAUAUUUUAGUAAUAAUUCCAUAGACUGUGGCAAUACAUCCUUCCUGGGCAUAGUAGAUCUAGUGCCACAAAUAGGUCACACUUUGUAAAUAGUCUGAGUAUCAAAUCAUGAGUGGGUAUAACUAUCAAUAAACAAAACUAGAGUCCAAUAGAAGUAGAUUGUGUGAAGAAUUGUAACAUAGUGUCAUAAUAUGUCAUAACACCUAAUUUUUAAAAAUAGUUCAAGUUUAAAUGUCAUGUUAUUUUAUAUAAUCAAAUUUUAGAUUUUUCUGUGUGUACAAAGAUGUUGGUAUUCACAAGAUAUUGAAGAUCCCAUGCUAUGUGGAACAUAAAAGAAGAUCAAAUCUCCUAAAAUUAGCCACGGAGUUGCUUACAGAAAUUGGAUAACUAGAAAAAUCUAACUCUGAUCAGUUUUUAAAAAUUGCUUUUUGAAGUACUUAAUUCUCUCUCUGAAAAUAAUUUAAGAUUUAGUAUCAAUGGAACAUUUCUUCGUAUUUAUAAACAAGAUCUCAUAAAUCUUUGCUGCUUUUGUUGUAUGGACCAGAAUAAGAG